GAGAAUCUAGCUUCAGGUCGGGGAUAACUACUGGAAACGGUGGCUAAUACCGGAUGUGCCGAGAGGUGAAAGGUUAACUGCCUGAAGAUGAGCUCGCGUCUGAUUAGCUAGUUGGUGUGGUAAGAGCGCACCAAGGCGUCGAUCAGUAGCUGGUCUGAGAGGAUGAUCAGCCACACUGGGACUGAGACACGGCCCAGACUCCUACGGGAGGCAGCAGUGGGGAAUUUUCCGCAAUGGGCGAAAGCCUGACGGAGCAAUACCGCGUGAGGGAGGAAGGCUCUUGGGUUGUAAACCUCUUUUCUCAAGGAAUAACAAAAUGAAGGUACUUGAGGAAUAAGCAUCGGCUAACUCCGUGCCAGCAGCCGCGGUAAUACGGAGGAUGCAAGCGUUAUCCGGAAUGAUUGGGCGUAAAGCGUCCGCAGGUGGCGAUGUAAGUCUGCUGUUAAAGAGUGAGGCUUAACCUCAUAAAAGCAGUGGAAACUACAUAGCUAGAGUACGUUCGGGGCAGAGGGAAUUCCUGGUGUAGCGGUGAAAUGCGUAGAGAUCAGGAAGAACACCGGUGGCGAAGGCGCUCUGCUAGGCCGUAACUGACACUGAGGGACGAAAGCUAGGGG
rnacentral:rRNA from 1 species